GUGUCAGCCGCCGCGGUAAUACGUAGGGUGCGAGCGUUAAUCGGAAUUACUGGGCGUAAAGCGUGCGCAGGCGGAUGUUUAAGUCAGACGUGAAAUCCCCGGGCUUAACCUGGGAAUGGCGUUUGAAACUGGACGUCUAGAGUGCGGCAGAGGGAGGUGGAAUUCCACGUGUAGCAGUGAAAUGCGUAGAGAUGUGGAGGAACACCGAUGGCGAAGGCAGCCUCCUGGGCUGACACUGACGCUCAUGCACGAAAGCGUGGGGAGCAAACAGGAUUAGAAACCCCAGUAGUCC
rnacentral:rRNA from 1 species